rnacentral:lncRNA from 1 species
AAGGGUGCAGUAGGAUGCUGUCUCUCUUCAUGACAGCUGUGUCCUCAGCUGAGAAAACCUCAAAGUUGAGUGUGACAACACGGGGGCCACUGAAAUCAUCUGAAGGCUAGUUCAUUCACAACUCUAUAGAUUGUGCUGGAUGCCUUCACCUCUAGACCCAGUUAGCUCUUCAGUAAUAUGAGUUUACUAAGGGAAUCUUUUCGAAGACUUUCCUCUCUCAACUCUGCUCUCAGAAAUGAAAAGGAAAUUUUCAAGUGUUAAAAAGGAAAUGCCCUCCAUGCUUCAUCUCUUUUAUUCCUUUUACAUUAAGCAUGUUGUGAUAAGAAGACAACCCCGGGAAGUGAAAACUCAAGGAGAACAGAACCAGAGAAUCAAAGAAAAAAAUCAGAAAAUUACAGAGUCUGAGAGGAGGCAGAGAACCAGAACACAUCAACAAGAGUAUGCCAGUGACCCUUGGAAAACUGUUCUGUCUUUGUGCUGCAAAUGGAAGAAUGACACCAGUCGGCUAUCUGUCAGCAAGCCACAGAAUGAAGCUUCAAAGCUUGGAAGUACUUAAGCUAAAAUUACAUGGGGAUGAUAUACAGUUAGAAAUAAUAAAUAAUGUUGUAAUAAACAAUCAUUUCUGCUCUGAAGGGCAACCAAAUUCUCACUGUCGGUACAUCUAACCUUUAGGAGAGGAAAAU